AACCUUUAGUUAAACCCAAUAUUAAAGGCAAUGCCUGCCCAGUGAGACCAUUCAACGGCCGCGGUACCCUAACCGUGCAAAGGUAGCGUAAUCAUUUGUCUAUUAAUUGUAGACCAGUAUGAAAGGCAACAUGAGAGCCAAACCGUCUCUUGCAACUACUCAAUUAAACUGAUCUUUUAGUCCAAAAGCUAAAAUAUACAUAUAAGACCAGAAGACCCUGUGAAGCUUAAACUAACCUGUUAAACCAAAUAACAGCCACUUUCGGUUGGGGCGACCUUGGAACAAAAAAGAACUUCCAACAAAAUGAAUAUCCUUCAUAUUAAGGCCAACAAGCCACAAUACGACCCAGUCUACUGACUAAAGAACCAAGUUACUCCAGGGAUAACAGCGCUAUCUUCUUCAAGAGCCCAUAUCAAAAAGAAGGUUUACGACCUCGAUGUUGGAUCAGGACAUCCUAGUGGUGCAGCCGCUACUUAAGGUUCGUUUGUUCAACGAUUAACAGUCCU
rnacentral:rRNA from 1 species